GUCUGGGAUAGCUCAGGUGGUAAGGGCACGAGACUCUUAAUCUCAGGGUCAUGGGUUAGAGCCCCACAUUGGGUG